rnacentral:rRNA from 1 species
GAGAUAUAGUGGAGGUUAUCAUGGAGACAGGUGGUGCAUGGUUGUCGUCAGCUCGUGUCGUGAGAUGUGGGUUAAGUCCCGCAACGAGCGCAACCCUUAUUGCUAGCUACCAUCAUUAAGUUGGGGGACUCUAGCGAGACUGCCAGUGAUAAACUGGAGGAAGGUGGGGGAUGACGUCAAAUCAUCAUGCCCCUUAUGACCUGGGCUACAAACGUGAUACAAUGGCUGAAACAAAGGGCAGCGAAGCAGUGAUGUGAAGCGAAACCCAAAAAAGCAGUCUCAGUUCGGAUUGAAGUCUGCAACUCGACUUCAUGAAGUCGGAAUCGCUAGUAAUCGCGAAUCAGAACGUCGCGGUGAAUACGUUCUCGGGGUUU